GAUGAACGCUGGCGGCGUGCCUAACACAUGCAAGGCCAGCGGACCCUUAGGGGUGAGCGGUGGACGGGUGAGUAACGCGUGUGUAACCUGCCCUGGGGCACGGAUAACAUACCGAAAGGUAUGCUAAUACGAGAUAAUAUGGAAUGAUCGCAUGGUCGAUACAUCAAAGCUUUUGCGGUACAGGAUGGACCCGCGUCUGAUUUUUUCUCUGGUGAGGUAAGGGCUCACCAAGGCGACCAUGAGUAUCCGACCUGAUAGGGUGAUCGGCCACAUUGGAACUGACACACCGUCCAAACUCCUACUGCAGGCACCAGUGGGGAAUAUUGCCCAAUGGUCCAAUGCCUGAUGCCCCAUCGCCGCGUGAUCUAUGAAGGCCUUCUGGUCGUAAAGCUCUGUCCUCAAUGAAUAUAAUGACGGUACUUGAUGAGGAAGCCCCGGCUAACUAC
rnacentral:rRNA from 1 species